GCUGGGACGUGAGUACGCUGCAGGGCGAGUCGUCGUCGUCGUCGUCGUCGGAUGGUAAGGAAUGAAAUAUAAAGAGCUGAAGACCAUGGGAGAAGACAACCAAUAUAUCAGGAGGUAAGGCUAACAAGUGCCAGGAAUAAGGAAGAAGGAGCAAGACAUAGAGGAAAAGGGGAGGCGAGAAAGAAAAGAUCCAAAAAAAGGAAGGUAGCGACAACAAACAAAGGAAGCGGGAAAAUCCCAGGACAGGAGGUGAGAUGAGACAAAAACCGUGAAACCAGAAGAGUAGGGCGAGGGAGGGUAUAUAUAAGACCAGCCUUCAAGGACCUGCACCAUCAACACUCCUGCAGGACCCCAGACACACACACACACACACCUAUCACAGUCUUCAGACCAUGAUGAGUUUCCGCGGGUACCUGAUGGUGGUGAUGAUGGUGCUGGCGAUGGUGAUGGCUCACGUCGCCACGGGCUUCAGGCGCGACGGCUACCACAGGGACGACCAUGAUGACCACUUCGACGACCACGACGACCGCUACGACGACAGGGAUGACGGUGGCCACAAGGGCUACAAGGGUCGCGGGUGGUGAUCCACCUGUCUUCAAGACGAUCAAGAAAGUCCUCAAGGCAUCAGACCAGCAGCGACCUGACCAUCUCACCUCGUCACCUCUGAACUCUUGCUGUAUUAUUUUUCUCAGCAGUCAACUAUUAAUACAGAAUAAGCAUUGUAA